ensembl:lncRNA
GGACACGACAGAGCAACUGAGCACAUGUGCACAGCAGGAGGAACAGAGAAAAGUACAGCUGACCCUUGAGCAACACAGUGGCGAGGGGAGCUGAUCCUGCAUGCACUCAUCAACCCACGUGUGACUUCACAGGUGGCCCACUGCGCCUGCGGUUUGCCCCACGGUCUGCAUCUUCCCUCCUGACCCUCACCACCUCCCCAUCGCCUGGAGCAUCCCAACAGGGCUGACGUGCGUCCUCUCCACACUCCGUGGCUCAGAGGCUGGGUUAGCCUUCUUCCCAGGGAACUGGUGAUGCUCACCAGGCCACAACCCCUCAGAACAGGUCUGCUCCAGCCUGGGGCCACCCUGGAGCCAGGGAGCCCCCAGAGAACAAGCCAGCCUGUCCACGGGGUUGCUGGGAGAGUUCACGCUCUUGCCUUGUGUGGUGAAGCCACACUUGGCUGGACACAACCAGCCAGGCCGAGAGCAGCACCGCUGUGCCAGCUGAUCUGCAGGAGGACGGGCAAGGGGCAAGGCUGCUGUUUAAGCCUCUGCGCUGCGGAAGGGUUGCUAGAGUGUUACCAUGGUAACAGCUGACUGGUACAUGGAGUAAGCAAGGAGCAUCUGCCGCUAGGCUUCAAAGGAAGCAUUGCUGAGCCCCCUCGUCGAGCCAGCUCUGUCCUAAGAAGUAAUAAACCGGAUGACCGGGACAGGGGCCCUGACUCCAGGAGUUUCUCGCAAGAGAGAUUGUAGAGACACGGCUCACUCAGGAAUGCGAGACCUGCAAAUACAGCAGCGCCUGGAACUGCCUGUGCUCCGGGAAUGCCCAUGACUGAGCUUCAGCUCCUGGGCUCAGUGGCCGAGUUUCACCUCCAAGAUGGGCUCCCUGCACCCCCAUCCUUGGAUGAAGUGGGGUGAAGUGAAGUCGCUCAGUCGUGUCCGACUCUUUGUGACCCCAUGGACUGUAGCCUACCGGGCUCCUCCGUCCAUGGGAUUUUCCAGGUACAGUGGCCAGUGACAAAGCACACAGAUGUGGACCUCGACAGUGAAAUGGACAUUGAUUUUAUGUGCCUGAGAGAAUGAGGCUUAACCUCCGAGACCUGUGGAGGCCUCUCCCCGUGCACAUGUCACCUGGCUGUUUCCCGUUCUCUCGCGUGUGCAGCUGCAACACGGCACCUCCCACGGCAUGCGGGCAGGGCCUCCUCACCACUGCACACGGCUCAGCCAGCCUGCGAGAAUAUUCUGGAGGGCAGUGGAGGGCGUGGCAGUCACUGUGUCCAGUGAGUGAGGCACAGAGGGAGUCGAUGGCUUCUCGAAGGACACCUGUGUGCUGACACAGCUAUGUGAAAGCGAGCUUAUGGACGGUCAUUAUGGGUGGAGCUCUCUGAGUUUCUUCCUGCCAUAAAAAGGAUGGGUUUCCUCCAAGCAUUCCAGCAGAUCAUAUCAUUUCUCACAGGGACCCACCAGACCAGCACCAUCCCUCUCUUCAGCGAUUGGUCCCUGAAUCACGACCUACGUGGCAAAAUGUUCUCCAGCCAUUCCUCAUUCAUGUAUACACACACCACACACACACACACACACAUCUCCCUUAAGAACGUGCGGAGGUGGACCCGGGGCUCCACUGUCUAGGGGCAGCUCGGGAAGAGAGGGUGCCGUGGAACAAGGGGCAGGCACCCUCAGGGCAGUAGGGGCCCCUUGCAGGGAGUGCUGGGGACAGCAGCCUCUGAGGGACAGGGAAACAGGCAAGACUUGGGCAGGGGUAUGCGGGAACUUGGAGUGAAGCAGUACGCAGGGUCACCAAGUGCCCGUUUGAGGAUAGAGCCCACCCGCAGCCCCCUCCCUGUCAUUCCACAGCUGACCUGGCCAGACUGAUUGGGCAGAAGCCCUUUCAAGGCUCCACGUGUGCAAAGCAACUUCAAGACAUCGACCCCCUCCCGCCUUUGCCUCUGAAGCCACACGUGGCUUGCUCCAGAGCCCGGCCCUGGGCUGUGGCCGUAGCUUCCUGCAGCACGGCCAGGACAGUCCUCCAGCUUUUCUGUGCACGUGCAUGCCUAUCUCGGCUGCUGGCACGCAACAUCCAAUACCUGUGAGGUGCUAUUAAAAACAUGGGUAAUUUUACAUCUUAAAAUAUUGCAUACAGGUUUAAUGGCUUCAUGCUGGCUCACAUUAAAAAUGACUCCCAAG